UGACGAUCAAACUCGUGAACAAGAGACGGAUAAAUUGUGGCCGAAACUGCUCAAGAUAACUCGCCUUUCAAGAGAGAAGCACGACUAGCUAUUCCUCGGAGCUUAUUGGUGAAAUGAUGAAGGUAGAGUUUUAGAGCUAAAGCUAAACUAAAGGCGAAAUGUACUGAACAAAUACGGGACCUGAGAAAAUUACAGUUGACUGAAUUGCCAAAGAACUGAAUUCUACUCGCGUUUAAGGAGACAGCAAGUCCAAAGCUGCUCUUUCUACACUUGCUGCUGAAAUGAACAGGUGGAGAUUUAGCGAGUCAAAACCAUAUGAAACGACGAUAAACCUGUUCAUAAUAAAAUGUUGAUGAUAUAUUAUAAGAAAUCACGGCUGGGUUGAGCUAUAACCACGGCAAAACGAUGCCAAAACGACGCCAAACGAUACAACGUCGAACAGCAGCGUAUAUCGGCGAUGUUCCCCGACAUCGUUAAAGGUUAGAGUAGCUUGGUGGUCAAAAAAUGUGCAU